rnacentral:lncRNA from 1 species
ACAAUUGUUCCCCCCUUUACACUUCACCCCUAGGGGCAUUUAUACAAUCUCCUACCGGACUCUGGACCCUACGUUUUCGGACUAGGAUCCGGUCUAAAGGACCCGACACACUUGGGGCGCAACCCUUGGAGAGAUAACCGUCUGGGCCGAUGGAUCCGCCCGGUCGGGCGAGUACCCGUGAGGCGGCUUGGAUCUUCCUCUUUUGUUCACUUCGCUGGGCCUUGCUUCUGGACUCCUGCGUAGGCCUGGGAUGAUGGAUUGGGGGU